rnacentral:lncRNA from 10 species
GGAGAAUGGCAUGAACCCGGGAGGCGGAGCUUGCAGUGAGCCGAGAUAGCGCCACUGCAGUCCAGCCUGGGCGAAAGAGCGAGACUCCAUCUCUUAAAAAAAAACAAAACUAUUUUUGCCUUGUCUUAAAUUGAUCUCUAGCAGUGCCUUUUUCCCCACACCCACGUAUUAUUUCAGGGGUCAGUGACAUUUGAUGACGUGGCUGCAUAUUUCACAAGGAGGAAAUGGAUGCAUCUAGCUCUUCACCAAAAGGCGGCUGGAGAACUGUGGGAACUUGACCUGGCUGGGUAGGCUCUGCCCUCUCCCCUGCCCCUCUCCAGGCUCUCUGAGUACUUCACUUGUUGAGAAUGAGGGCAAUUCCACAUCCUUUCUAGACCUAGAAACUAGACCCUUUCUCCACGUGACAGACCUGAGCUCCACAGGGAGGAAAGAGGCUGGGCCUGAGGUAGCCCCUCUCUCCAAGUUCCCUAUAGAUGUUGCACCAUGGAAUUCCACUCAUGCUUGGCAGGACUUGCUGUCUCCCCAGCAUGAUUUGGUAUAGUCCUGAUGAAUCUGAAUUUUUUUUUCUUUUCUUUUCUUUUUUCUUUUGAGACAGGAUUUCACUCUGUUGCCCAGGCUGGAGUGCAGUGGCACAAUCAUGGCUCACUGCAGCCUCAACCUCCCAGGCUCAAGUGACCCUCCCACCUCUGCUUCCCAUGUAGCUGGGACUACAGGCACGAGCCACCACGCCUGGGUAAUUUUUUUGGUUCUUUGUAGAGACAGGGUCUCACUCUGUUGCCCAGGCUGGUCUCGAACUCCUGGGCUCAAGUGAUCCUCCUGCCUCAGCCUCCAAAGUGCUGGGAUUAUAGGCAUGAGUCAUUGUACUCAGCCAGAGUCUGAACCGUACAGGCAUGAGUCAUUGUACCCAGCCAGAGUCUGAACCUUACAGGCAUGAGUCACUGCACCCAGCCAGAGUCUGAACCUUACAGGCAUGAGCACUGCACCCAGCCAGAAUCUGAACCUUACAGGCAUAAGCCCCUACUCCCAGCCAGAGUCUGAACCUUACAGGCAUGAGUCACUGCACCCAGCCAGAGUCUGAACCUUACAGGCAGGAGUCACUGCACCCAGCCAGAGUCUGAACCUUACAGGCAUGAGCACUGCACCCAGCCAGAGUCUGAACCUUACAGGCAUAAGCCCCUACUCCCAGCCAGAGUCUGAACCUUACAGGCAUGAGUCAUUGUACCCAGCCAGAGUCUGAACCUUACAGGCAUGAGCCCCUACUCCCAGCCAGAGUCUGAACCUUACAGGCAUGAGUCAUUGCACCCAGCCAGAGUCUGAACCUUACAGGCAUGAGCAGUGCACCCAGCCAGAGUCUGAACCUUACAGGCAUGAGCAGUGCACCCAGCCAGAGUCUGAACCUUACAGGCAUGAGCACUGCACCCAGCCAGAGUCUGAACCUUAUAGGCAUAAGCCCCUACUCCCAGCAAGAGUCUGAACCUUACAGGCAUAAGCCCCUACUCCCAGCCAGAGCCUGAACCUUACAGGCAUGAGCACUGCACCCAGCCAGAGUCUGAACCUCUUAAUCACCUUGCACUCUUUUCUCCCUUUCCCCUUCUUUCUCCCUCAGCCAUGACUCACCCUCAUCCCUCCCCACCCCGGACAUAGUUUUAUCUUUAGAGCCCCUACCUAUUCCACCAUCCUGGGCCUUCCUACCUGGUCCAGCUGAAUCUCUCUGCCUGCUCUCUGCAGACCGUAGGCUUUGGUUCUCAGCAGAAAUGCACGUGUUGUGUUUCCAUCUCUGCCAGCAGAAUUUUCAGGCCUCAAACCUGACCUGAUCUUCUAGCUGGAGAGAGAGGAAGAGCCAUGGCUGCCAGAUGUUCCAGGGACUGAAAAUACAGACACACAGAGAUGCUCCUUCCCAGAAAAACCCUUAACUGGGCGUGGUGCCACGAACCUGUAGUCCCAGCUACUCAGGAAGCUGAGAUGGAAGGGUCGCUUGAGCCCAUGAGGUCGAAGCUGCAGUGAGCUGAGUUUGUGCCAUGGCACUCCAGCCUGGGUGACAGAGUGAGAUCCUGCUUCAAAGAAAAAAAGAAAAAAAGGACUAUCCUGAACUUCAUAUGGAAUGGCAAGUGACCCCAAAUAGCCAAAACAAUCUUGAAAAAGAACAAAGUUGGAGGACUCACACUUCCUGAUUUCAAAACUUAAUACAAAGCUACAAUAAAAAACAAUGUGAUACUGGCAUGACAGGAAAUAAAAUGUAAUACAAUAGAGAGCCCAGAAACAAAGCCUUGCAUAUAUUAUCAGUUGACUUUCAGCAAGGAUGCUUAGACCCUUUGUCGUUUGGGUCCCACCAAAUUUUGUAUGUUGAAGCCCCAACCCCCAGUGUGGGAGACAGUGGCUGUGAGAAGGUGACACAGGUUAAAUGAGGCCAUAGGGUGGGGCCCUAAUGCAAUAGGGCUGGUGCCUCUAAAAGAGGAAGAGACACCAGAGAUCUGUCUCUCUCCACCAUGUAAGAACACAGCAAGAAGGCAGCCAUCUGCAAGCCAGGAAGCGAACCCUCACUGGGAACUGAAUCGGCUGGCACCUUACCUUCCCAGCCUCCGGAAUUGUGAGAAAUAAAUUUCUGUUGCUUAUGCCAAGCCACCUAGUCCGUAGUAUGUUCUUAUGGCAGCCCAAGCUAAUACAUCAUUCAAUUGGAAAAGGAGUCUAUUCAAUAGAUACUGGCUGGGCAAGACAGCUCACGCCUGUAAUCCCAGCACUUUGGGAGGCCAAGGCAGGCGGAUCACUUGAGGUCAGGAGUUCAAGAGCAGCCUGUCCAACGUGGUGAAGCCCUGUCUCUACUAAAAAUAAAAAAAUUAGCUGGGCGUGGUGGUGCAUGCCUGUAAUCCCAGCUACUAAGGAGGCUGAGGCAGGAGAAUCACUUGAACCCGGGAGGUGGGGGUUGCAAAAAACUACAAAAGAUUCACUGAAAGAAGUUAAAGAACACCUAAACAAAUGGACGGAUCCGCCCAGCUCAGCCUCCCAAAGUGCUGGCAUUACAGGCGUGAGCCACCAUGCCUGGACAAAACAGUUAAAUUACCGUAUGAUUCAGCUAUUUCACUCCUAGGUAUAUAGCUAAAAGUACUUGAAGUAGGGAUUCGAAAACAUAUUUUCACACCAGUGUUCACACUAGCAUUAUUUACAAUAGGCAAAAUGUAGGAACACCCAAGUGUCCAACAACAAAUUAACGGAU